rnacentral:rRNA from 1 species
GAUGAACGCUGGCGGCGUGCCUAAUACAUGCAAGUCGAGCGAACAGACGAGGAGCUUGCUCCUCCGACGUUAGCGGCGGACGGGGGAGUAACACGUGGAUAACCUACCUAUAAGACUGGGAUAACUUCGGGAAACCGGAGCUAAUACCGGAUAAUAUAUUGAACCGCAUGGUUAAAUAGUGAAAGACGGUUUUGCUGUCACUUAUAGAUGGAUCCGCGCCGCAUUAGCUAGUUGGUAAGGUAACGGCUUACCAAGGCAACGAUGCGUAGCCGACCUGAGAGGGUGAUCGGCCACACUGGAACUGAGACACGGUCCAGACUCCUACGGGAGGCAGCAGUAGGGAAUCUUCCGCAAUGGGCGAAAGCUUGACGGAGCAACGCCGCGUGAGUGAUGAAGGUCUUCGGAUCGUAAAACUCUGUUAUUAGGGAAGAACAAAUGUGUAAGUAACUAUGCACGUCUUGACGGUACCUAAUCAGAAAGCCACGGCUAACUACGUG